rnacentral:rRNA from 1 species
GAUGAACGCUGGCGGCGUGCCUAAUACAUGCAAGUCGAGCGAACGGACGAGAAGCUUGCUUCUCUGAUGUUAGCGGCGGACGGGUGAGUAACACGUGGAUAACCUACCUAUAAGACUGGGAUAACUUCGGGAAACCGGAGCUAAUACCGGAUAAUAUUUUGAACCGCAUGGUUCAAAAGUGAAAGACGGUCUUGCUGUCACUUAUAGAUGGAUCCGCGCUGCAUUAGCUAGUUGGUAAGGUAACGGCUUACCAAGGCAACGAUACAUAGCCGACCUGAGAGGGUGAUCGGCCACACUGGAACUGAGACACGGUCCAGACUCCUACGGGAGGCAGCAGUAGGGAAUCUUCCGCAAUGGGCGAAAGCCUGACGGAGCAACGCCGCGUGAGUGAUGAAGGUCUUCGGAUCGUAAAACUCUGUUAUCAGGGAAGAACAUAUGUGUAAGUAACUGUGCACAUCUUGACGGUACCUAAUCAGAAAGCCACGGCUAACUACGUG